rnacentral:rRNA from 1 species
UACGUAGGGACCAAGCGUUGUUCGGAUUUACUGGGCGUAAAGGGCGCGUAGGCGGCAUGACAAGUCACUUGUGAAAUCUCUGGGCUUAACCCAGAACGGCCAAGUGAUACUGUCACGCUAGAGUGCGGAAGGGGUAAUCGGAAUUCUCGGUGUAGCGGUGAAAUGCGUAGAUAUCAAGAGGAACACCAGUGGCGAAGGCGAGUCCCUGGACGACUCCUGACACUGAGGCACGAAAGCUAGGGGAGCAAACAGG